AUAAUACCCACACGUCUCUUUCAUUUGCCAGCUAUCACCUAACGUCUCUCUCUGCUCUCACACGUUACCCUCUCUGCUUUUACACGUGAUCCUCCUCUCUUCUCUCUCCAUUCUCCGAUACUUUCUCUGUACAUGAAAAAGAAGCGAAAAAGAAAACAAAAGAAGGCACAUACAAGUGACCUCUCUCCAAAAACACCCUCUCUAAAAAAUGAAAAAGAAAAAGUCUCUUACUGUUCAUCUCCUUCACCCUUGGUUGAAUUGCCGGAAACUGCGCCUCCGCCGGCAAUCACACAAACACCGUCAGCCACCAUCCACGCACCUCCACCGGUGAAACUCUCACAAACCUCACACCGCACACAACAACCACUUCCGGCCACGAACCAACAACCCCCGCCGUCUUCCGCUGUGAACUCCGCCGACGAACACCGUUCUUCCUCCUUCACCCUCACGAAACCGGUUCCGGCAAGCACAUCCCUCGUGCUGUUUUUGUAGAUCUAGAAUCUACCGUCAUCGAUGAAGUCAGGUCCGGUACCUACCGACAAUUCUUCAAGCAACAACACUACAACAAUGUUUCGCAGUUACUUCUUUUGGUUGUUGCGGCGAUUCAGAUGCAAGCAUAUUCAGCUCGAACAACAAACUUGAAGUGCGAGGUUAUUGUUUCAUUUCGAGUUCCAAGGCGUAUUCCGCUAACCGACUGGUUUGAUGAACAUGGUGAAGCCACGCCGCUGAUGCGACUAUUCACACCAACCACAUAUUUCCGGAAUACUAAGAACAACAUACAUGCAUACACAUAUUUCUAGCUCAGAUUUUAGUAGCAGAAUUGGUUUACUUCGAAAGGUAAAGAUGCACACUUUAUGAAUGAAAUACCAAGCUAGUGCUCACUAACAAUUUUUGCCAAUGGAUUUACUGUUGCAUCUUUUAUUCUGUUGAUAUGGUUAUUAAUGCGCAUAAGUUUUCAGAAUUGGUAUCUUCUACUCAAUUUAAUCUCAUGUUUUCUUGUUGCUAUGCAAACUUAUGCCUAUACAAACCUCAGUUUUAGGCAAUCGUUCUCAGUUUGUGUUUAAAUAUUCAGGCUGCUGUAAUAAUGUAAAUAUAGCAAAUCAGAAUACGACAAUUGUAGUAACGAUUGUGUUUCGUUACUAAUAUCGGCAUAAUGGGCUGAUGUAUUGUGUUUAAAUAAUAGAGCCAAUUGUGUUGUGUCUA